rnacentral:rRNA from 1 species
ACUCCUACGGGAGGCAGCAGUAGGGAAUCUUCCACAAUGGGCGCAAGCCUGAUGGAGCAACACCGCGUGAGUGAAGAAGGGUUUCGGCUCGUAAAGCUCUGUUGUUAAAGAAGAACACGUAUGAGAGUAACUGUUCAUACGUUGACGGUAUUCAACCAGAAAGUCACGGCUAACUACGUGCCAGCAGCCGCGGUAAUACGUAGGUGGCAAGCGUUAUCCGGAUUUAUUGGGCGUAAAGAGAGUGCAGGCGGUUUUCUAAGUCUGAUGUGAAAGCCUUCGGCUUAACCGGAGAAGUGCAUCGGAAACUGGAUAACUUGAGUGCAGAAGAGGGUAGUGGAACUCCAUGUGUAGCGGUGGAAUGCGUAGAUAUAUGGAAGAACACCAGUGGCGAAGGCGGCUACCUGGUCUGCAACUGACGCUGAGACUCGAAAGCAUGGGUAGCGAACAGGAUUAGAUACCCUGGUAGGAUAGCG